UAUUUUGCAGAAAACACCCCUGCACAUUUGUCCCAGUGAGUAAAAGUUUUACUCACACUCAAAACUAGUAGUAAAAUAAGGGUGAGUGAAAUUUUAACUCGGUGCGAUGGAUGUGCGGGGGGUAUUUUAUGCAAAAUU
rnacentral:pre_miRNA from 1 species